UACAGAGGUCCCAAGCGUUGUUCGGAUUCACUGGGCGUAAAGGGUGCGUAGGCGGUCGGGUAAGUCUGAUGUGAAAUCUCCAAGCCUAACUUGGAAACUGCAUUGGAUACUAUCCGGCUAGAGGAAUGAGGGGAGACUGGAAUACUUGGUGUAGCAGUGAAAUGCGUAGAUAUCAAGUGGAACACCAGUGGCGAAGGCGAGUCUCUGGACAUUUCCUGACGCUGAGGCACGAAAGCCAGGGGAGCAAACGGG
rnacentral:rRNA from 1 species